UACAGAGGGUGCAAGCGUUAAUCGGAAUUACUGGGCGUAAAGCGUGCGUAGACGGUUAUUUAAGUCAGGUGUGAAAGCCCAGGGCUCAACCUUGGAAUUGCAUUUGAGACUGAAUAGCUAGGGUGCGGAAGAGGGAAGCGGAAUUUCCGGUGUAGCGGUGAAAUGCGUAGAUAUCUGGAGGAACACCGGUGGCGAAGGCGGCAUCCUGGACCGGCAUUGACGCUGAGGAGCGAAAGCCAGGGGAGCAAACGGG
rnacentral:rRNA from 1 species